UUGGAUGAAAGUGAGAGGUGCUUCCCAUCCUCUGGAUGCACUUUUUGCAUAACACCAAGUCUAGAGAUGCUUCAUAUGGAAAAGAGUUUGUUUACAAAAACUUCUAACAUGUCACUAGAACUGAAACUCUUGGUGCGGUAUCUCACCACUUUUCUAAUGAAAUCGUGUUGCUUCAAAAAAAAAAACACUCUUGGAUAUUUUCUCUCUGUCUUUUUUUUUUCUUCCUUCUGGUUUCGAUGUUUUUAGUUUGAUAAGUGGUGGUAAGUGGUGAAAUCUUUUUUCUUUUUUUUUUUUCCUUUUUUUUUUUACAGGUAUGCUUCAAUUAAGGCAAUAGAGAGUAAACGAAAACUUUCAAAGAUCUAACACAUUGAGUUUUAGAUUCGACGUAUACAUCUCAUUGUAAAAAGUGGUGACAAUGGGCUAUUUGCUGGAGCAAUCGUCGCAUCGUAGUUGGUUGUUGUGUUGUUAUUGGAUUGAUUCUGGUAUUUCUUUGGAUGAAAGGUUGCUUAGGAGGAAAAGACCUUAUGGACAAAGAGGGGGGAGCUUUGGGUGGUAUGGCCAGGUAGCUUUCCAUUGAUCAGUUUGAAAAUGAAGGCUGGUGGGCUAGCUAUGGUACUCUAGAGAAUGCAACUGUAGAUAACUUUUUUAUUAGUAUUGUGUUUUUAUGAAUGGAUAACUUUUUUUUAUUGGUAUUGUGCCAAUGGAUUAAAACGAAUGAUUAUAUUUGAUUGAUUGAAUGAAUGAUUAUAUAUAGGUUUAUAAAUGGAUUAAAAUAUGAGCUGUCUAUCAACCUGAGCUGUGAGAGAUGAUAAAUGAUAUGAAGACACGACAAGCUCAGUUGGAGGAAAUAUUACAUACCCUCAUGUCAUAGUAGCCCCAAUCACAUCCUCAGUGAUUUUUCUAUAGAUUGGUGCUAUCUUCCCAGGCCUCACCACAUUAUCGAUGAUGCACAUUUCUUUUUUUUUUUUAUUAUUCAUUUUUUAUUGGAC